rnacentral:lncRNA from 1 species
CCUUCGGCUGCAGCCCUGUUGCCCAAGCUCAGGGCAACCCCUGAGCCCUGAUCCCAAGGGAGGCAGUGCCGCCUUCUCCUCUAGGCCUGGCAGUUCCAGGGUGACAGGAAGGUCACGAUAUCUCUGUUUGGGUGCACUGCAGCCUCCGCUUCCUGCCAGGACCAGGCUGUAUCAGGCACUGGGAUGAAGAAAACAUUCCAAGCAAUGGGCUGGCCUAGAAGGUAAGAGCUGGUGGCAGAGAGGGGGUAAGCACACCCCUUCCUUACUUCAGGGACGUGCAAACCCCUUCAGCAGGCCUGGGCAGAGCUGGGAACAGGGCGGAUCAAGCCCUGCUUCUGGAGAAACAUGCUCUGCCAUUGGAGGCUGGGAGCUCUGUCCCCGCAUGGCUCGUAGGACCUUGGAAUGCAUUUGUCCAGCAGCUUCUAAUACACCAGGCCCUCAUCUGACCCGCACCCCCACAACCUCCAUGGGCUCUCCUCCCUCUGUCCCCUCUUGAUCUCUCUACGCAGGCACAAUGGUGCCUGCUCAGCCCUGAACACAGCAGCCCUGCUCCCACCUCAGGGCCUUUGCACACGCUAUUCCCUCUGCCUGGUUCACUUCACCCAUUAUGCAGAUGGCUUACUGUAGACCUCUACUUGAAUGUCGCCUUCUCUGUGAGACCCUCCCUACCUGUUCACUCUGUUUAAAAAUGCAAACAUCCCCCACAGUCCUUAGCCUCCAUCUGGCUUCCUUUGACCCUGCUGUGCUUAGGAUGGUGGGACACAUAUGUUACACGUGUUUAUUUGUGUUUCCCUUUCCUGUUGCUGCUGUAACAAAUCGCCGUGAACUUGGGAGCUGGAAAUAACAUGAAUGUGUGAGCUUACAGUUCUGGAGGGCUGAAGCCCACAGUGGGUCUCAGCAGGCUAAAAUCAAGGUGUGGGCAGGACCACGUUCCUUCUAGAGGCUCACAGGGAGAAUCCGUUCCUCCAGCUUCUCAAGGCCACCUGUAUUCCUGGGCUCACGGCUCCAACCUCCAUCUUCAAAGCCAGCAACGGCGAGGCCAUCUUUCCCAUGCUGCAUCCCUCCGCCUGCAACACCUCUGCUUCCCUCCUGCACUAAGCCCCUUGUGAUGACACUGGGUCACGAUGUCAUCAUCUGGGUAAUCCAGGGUCGUCUCCCCCAGCUCAAGGAGACUGCUCAGCAGCCUCCAUUCCCCUUGGCCGUGUAACCUUGUACAUUCACGGGUUCCAGGGAUGAGGACGUCUUGGGGAAGGGCGCAUGAGUCUGCUGACCACACACACCAAACACACCAGGCGUUGGCUCCAGGAAGGCACGUGGUUUGCUGCUUUAUGUAUGUCCAAUGCCUGGUGCAUAGCAGGUGCUCAGUAGACCCUUGGAGACUGCGUGGGUGCUGGAGUAGAAUGUUGUGGCCGCCAAAGGGAGGC